rnacentral:rRNA from 1 species
UACGUAGGUUCCAAGCGUUGUCCGGAUUUAUUGGGCGUAAAGCGAGCGCAGGUGGUUUAUUAAGUCUGGUGUAAAAGGCAGUGGCUCAACCAUUGUAUGCAUUGGAAACUGGUAGACUUGAGUGCAGGAGAGGAGAGUGGAAUUCCAUGUGUAGCGGUGAAAUGCGUAGAUAUAUGGAGGAACACCGGUGGCGAAAGCGGCUCUCUGGCCUGUAACUGACACUGAGGCUCGAAAGCGUGGGGAGCAAACAGG